CUGACUCCAUUCUCUACCUCCCUUUUCUAACACAGUCAUGAUCUAAGAGAAACAAUCUCUUUUCUGUAGAGCUCUUUAGGCAUGCCUGAUUUGUAUUCUCUGAUUAAAUUGUAGCCACAAAUCUCCACAUGAACUCUGGGCAGAUCAAGCAGUAGCUGAGACACUGUUUGCCAAGAAAACACAAGCUGAAGUUUCAAAAUUCUGGUGCUCUGCUUCCAGUGGUGACACCAACUGGUUAGGUGACCUAAAACAAGUUUUUUGACAUGCUUGUGCCUCAGUUCAUCCAUCUUUUAAGUGGUGGUGGUGGAUUAUAAUACCUGCUUUACCUACUUCACAAGUGGUUGUGAAGUUCAAAUGAGGAAGAGACGUAGAGAAGAAUGCCCAGAACAUGAGUGUACAGCUUGACGGAUUUUCACGAACUGAGCACAUCUAUUUUACUAGCAUCCAGAUCAAGAAAUGGGACACUAACAACAUCGCAGAAACCCCUUUCAUGAUCCCUACCAAUCACUACUGAUCUCCACCCCUGCCAAGUGUAUUCAGCAAAAUGCAGAUAAAGGACCAGAGGGCUGGACUUUCUUUUUGGUUGCCAGACAGUCUUUCUUUGGCCAAGUCCCUGCCUGCUCUGAGACUGGACCAAAUAGUGCCCAGCUUCAACAAGGAUGCAUGUACUCACCACCAACCUCCUUCUCUCCCCACCAGCCGCCACUCCCCUUCCGCCAGCUCUGAUUUCUGCAG
rnacentral:lncRNA from 1 species